UUCCAUAGUAAAAAUUAGCUCCUCCCCCACACGGCAGAACAGAUGACGUCACAGUUACCGUAGCGGAGGUGCACGUGCCUCUCCCCCCAGGGACCACGGGAGUUCGCUCCGCUGGGACCAAUAGAGAGGGUCUGGGUGUGCGGGGGUUCUCCCCCAGAUUUUUACGGACGUAACACACCAACGGACCCCCGCCGCAUUUUAGAUGCUGACAAAGAAUCAGGUCACGUACGGCCACAGACGACGAGAUCCUGAAACAUGCCAUUAGCACCGAAAUCCUGGUCCACUCAUUUGUCACAUCCCGCAUCGACUAUUGCAAUGCCCUCCUCACCGGACUCCCCACCAAACUCAUCAACAGACUGCAAAUCAUUCAGAACUCGGCCGCCCGGAUCAUCACCUGUACCAAAUCAUCGGACCACAUCACUCCUGUACUCAUCCAACUUCACUGGCUCCCUGUACAAUACCGCAUCGACUACAAAAACCUUCUCCUCACCUAUAAAGCUCUCCACAAUCUAGCCCAUACUUACCUCUACGACCUCCUUCAGGAACCCUCCCACACCCUCCGCUCAUCCUCUUCUGGACUGCUAACCAUCCCCACGUCACGCCUCAGUACCAUGGGUGCCCGAGCCUUCAGCUGCUCAGCACCCAGGCUCUGGAACUCCCUCCCCCCACACAUAAGACAAUCAGACUCCAUCACAUCAUUCAAGUCUCAACUCAAAACUCACCUGU